GGGGGGGGCAAGCGUUGUUCGGAAUUACUGGGCGUAAAGGGCUCGUAGGCGGCCAACUAAGUCGGAUGUGAAAUCCCCAGGCUUAACCUGGGAACUGCAUCCGAUACUGGAUGGCUUGAAUCCGGGAGAGGGGUGCGGAAUUCCAGGUGUAGCGGUGAAAUGCGUAGAUAUCUGGAGGAACACCGGUGGCGAAGGCGGCAUCCUGGACCGGCAUUGACGCUGAGGAGCGAAAGCCAGGGGAGCAAACGGGAUUAGAUACCCCGGUAGUCCUGGCCCUAAACGAUGAAUGCUUGGUGUGGCGGGUAUCGAUCCCUGCCGUGCCGAAGCUAACGCAUUAAGCAUUCCGCCUGGGGAGUACGGUCGCAAGGCUG
rnacentral:rRNA from 1 species